GAAGUAAAAGUCGUAACAAGGUCUCCGUUGGUGAACCAGCGGAGGGAUCAUUACAGAGUUACUACUCCAAACCCAUUGUGAACCUUACCUAUGUUCUGUUGCCUCGGCGGCGUGGUCAGCGCCCCUCUGAAAAGAGGACGAUGCCCUCCCGCCGGCAGCACCAAACUCUUUGAAUUUUACAGCGGAUUACAGUUCUGAUUUGAAAACAAAAAAACAAGUUAAAACUUUCAACAACGGAUCUCUUGGUUCUGGCAUCGAUGAAGAACGCAGCGAAAUGCGAUAAGUAAUGUGAAUUGCAGAAUUCAGUGAAUCAUCGAAUCUUUGAACGCACAUUGCGCCCGGCAGUAAUCUGCCGGGCAUGCCUGUCCGAGCGUCAUUUCAACCCUCGAACCUCCGUUUCCUCAGGGAAGCUCAGGGUCGGUGUUGGGGCGCUACGGCGAGUCUUCGCGACCCUCCGUAGGCCCUGAAAUACAGUGGCGGUCCCGCCGCGGUUGCCUUCUGCGUAGUAAGUCUCUUUUGCAAGCUCGCAUUGGGUCCCGGCGGAGGCCUGCCGUCAAACCACCUAUAACUCCAGAUGGUUUGACCUCGGAUCAGGUAGGGUUACCCGCUGAACUUAAGCAUAUCAAUAAGCGGAGGA
rnacentral:misc_RNA from 1 species